UGCUGAACUUCAGUUAAAGCAUUAAAGCAAGUUGUGGUUUACACAUCUGGUUGGAGGGAAACUCCCACACUCAAAGCCUUUUCAUCAGAAACAAUCCGCCUUCUUUGUUCGAGAUUGAUUUGAGAACCUCUUCUUAGAUUUAAAGCCAUAAACGCUGUCUACCUGUCAUUGUGAGUAAAGCACAAAACAUAAAUACAGGUAAUGCAAUUUUUACAAAAUGUAAACAGGAAAUUCAUUGUGGUUUUAAAGUUUUGAUUCCUCCCCGAUGUGUCCUCAUCAGAGAGAAGAGAGAUGCCACCACCUGGAGGACACUUGAGGAACAACAGACUUCCUCUUAAGAAUCUAAAGAUGCACUGAGUCUUUCUGUGUGUUUAACAGGAAGAAAAUCAAACACUGUCACACACCUGGAGUCAAAAAAGGUUCCAUCGAGGAGGCUGCCGUUGUAGUGGUAGCGUACAAAGUCUCCGGUGACCGUCUUCCUCGUGCAGGACUCGGGCACCUUCUGAUUCGUCACUGUGAUCCCAUCUCUGGGGUUGUGGAGGUCCAGAAGUACAACGUCGAACACCAGAGACGCCUGUCCUGGGAUGUCGCUACCUGAAGCAGAGAAAAGGAAGACAUGUUGAAGUCAACAAGGAGUCAAGUAUGGGUUUAGAUGAAGGAGAGGUGUAUUGCUAAUAAUGUAUUAUGAAGCCAUUGUUUUAAUGUUUGGAUUAAUUCAUUAUCUUUUGCCAAAGACUAAAUGAGAAGAUCACUGACACUUUCAUGGUGUACUGUAAAAAAUUAUGCUACUGCCCUAACUUGAUUAGUUAGCUUAGCACAAACACUGGAUUUAGCUAACCUGACAUUGUCCAAAGGUUACAAACCACAUCAACCAGCAUCUGUGAAGGUCAUUUAGAGUUAUAACUGCAUCUGCACAAUAACAACAAGUUUUUUUUAUGAAGUUAAGGACCACUGCUCAGAUACCGAACAGUCACUUCCCAACUUAAAAAAUAGUCCCAAAGUAAAACAGAAAAUCCCCAUUUUUGCACUUAUGGCUUUGUACAGAUCUGUGCGACUUUUAUGCACCCCCUAUAAGUGAAUGUUUGAACACCUCCUUUGACAUAUGCAACCAAACAUCUUAAUUAGCGUUAGACAUGUUUGUAACAAGAAAGCAAGGCUGGCUGUUUCCCUCUUUUUCAAGCGUUUGUGCUAAUCUAGGCUAACAUGCUGCAAACAAGAACAAAAACGAGAACAAAUGUUUUCCCAAAUUUUGAACUAUUGUUUUAAACAAUUCAUGCAACCAUGUAAAAAGCCUCUUCUACAUUUCAGGAUGUAAGUGAUCAGGGAGCAAUUUAGAGAAGACUCUACUUUUUACCUACUGUUUUAACCUAAAAUUGUAUUGCCUUCUUAACAUUUUUUUUUUUAUCAUUUGUUAUUAUCUUGUGAAAUGUUUGAAAUGCUUUUUGUGCCUGUGUGAACCUCUUUGAAUUGCCUGGUGUCUGAAAGGUCCUAUAUAAAUAAACGCUUGCUUUGCCUAAA